UACAGAACAACAUUCUGUGUUUCGAUGUGAUUCCGUGAGGGACUGCCUGACCUGAACCGGAGCGUUGUUCUGCCAUGCUGCAGCAGAGGCCCCCCAUGUGCCAACCUGCACCAGAGAUGUUGCUGAUUCUGGGGGGAGAGUGAGGAGUACCUCCCCUGCACUCUCCACUUCCACCCUACUCCACACUGAGACAUGGUUUAGCCCAACCUGUCCAGCAGUCAAGAUGAUGGCCUCUGUGGUUGCCAACGGAAACAGGAAGAAGUCACUGUCCCUGAAAGGGGUGGACCCAGAAACAUGCAUGAUCGUCUUCAGAAACCACUGGGCACAGGUGGUGAAGAUCUUGGAGAAACAUGAUCCUGUCCAUAGCCGUCCGGUGUCUACCUUCGUCUCGGUCCUGUCCCCGGUGACGAGGCCAGCGCGGUACAGAACUGCGU